rnacentral:rRNA from 1 species
GAUGAACGCUGGCGGCGUGCCUAAUACAUGCAAGUCGAGCGAACGGACGAGAAGCUUGCUUCUCUGAUGUUAGCGGCGGACGGGUGAGUAACACGUGGAUAACCUACCUAUAAGACUGGGAUAGCUUCGGGAAACCGUAGCUAAUACCGGAUAAUAUUUUGAACCGCAUGGUUCAAAAGUGAAAGACGGUCUUGCUGUCACUUAUAGAUGGAUCCGCGCUGCAUUAGCUAGUUGGUAAGGUAACGGCUUACCAAGGCAACGAUGCAUAGCCGACCUGAGAGGGUGAUCGGCCACACUGGAACAGAGACACGGUACAGACUCCUACGGGAGGCAGCAGUAGGGAAUCUUGCGCAAUGGGCGAAAGCCUGACGGAGCAACGCCGCGUGAGUGAUGAAGGUCUUCGGAUCGUAAAACUCUGUUAUUAGGGAAGAACAUAUGUGUAAGUAACUGUGCACAUCUUGACGGUACCUAAGCAGAAAGCCACGGCUAACUACGU